GGUUGAUGGGAGAGCCCGGUCUGUAUGGGAAGCGACUUUGGAAGAAGAGGGACCAUAGCGUCUGUGCGCGAAGACACCGUGGCACAGAUUUGUUCUGACAAGUCUCGUGUUGGUGAAGGCGGCGAGUUUAGAGAUAUGAUAGACAUAUUUCUACAGCAAAGUGCCGCAGUCAUGGCCACACGGGGAACUUUGACACAGAUGCAAGCUUCCACAAGGAGAGUGCUCGUCCUUCCUCCUGCCAGAGCAUCAGCACCUUGGCUUUAGACUGCUUACUGCUUAUACAGUGUCACAGUACAGUAACAGUCUACAGUCAUGGCUACUGAAGCCUGGCAAUGCAUCAAGCACCACAGUGAAGGCAUGAAAAGAAACUCCCAAUGGACAGACUGUGGUAUACUUUUAAAAUGGCUGACCUGGUAGCAGGAGCGCACUCUGUGUGUUAGAGAUCUAUCUUUUUUUUUUUUCUUCUCUCCUCCCAGGAAAGGAAACCUGUGUGGGCUUGCAUUGGGAGAGUCCUACACCAUGUAAGUGCGUAACAUCCACCCUUAAACCAAUGAGACCUUGCAGUUUCUAGUUACCAUGCCAACUCCAGUUCCUCCUCCACCCUGCUGUCUCCAUGGCGACCGUGGCUUUAGAUUGUUACUCUAGCAAUGGCACCACGGUAACAGUCUACAGCCAUGGUCGUUAGGGGCAGGUGUCGUCAGAAAAGAGGGAAAAAAGUUGAGUUGUUGGUAAUAUUCAACUUUACCUUUGAUUUCUAAGUGACAUGACGUCAAAGGCCACUCAUUCAGAAGUAUUGAUUUGCUUGACUCAGUGUUAUAAUCCUGUGUGACAUGACGCACCUAAUGUGUAUUCUUAAUGCACCAAACAAUCAAGUGUACAAUGACACACGUCGAACACGCACUGCUUUUCACUUUUACUUUAUUAGGAACAAUGUGUUUCUUUAUGGCUUGCACAUUGAGUACAGUGAUGAAUGCAAAGAGCACAUCCAGAGUGGUGGAUGAGUCAGCCAGCUCCAACACCUGUUCCGCUCUCUGUUUAUCAGACGAGAGCAGCUUCACUUCAAAGAAGCACAGCCAGGAAUUCCCAGCGGGCAGCACUAUAACCUGCAGGCAGACGUAAACACAGACUGGGUCCUGCACAGGUGGGCUUACCCACACGCACACGCACACGCACACGCACGCACGCGCGCACACACACACACACACACACACACGCACACACACACAUCCUGUAUUCUGACAACAAAAGAUUAGUACUUAGUCCACUCAGUCUCAAGCACAUCUCUAUGAUAUUCAAAGUUAUACUGCCCUCUACAGGCCAGGAUUUGCCAAUGUCGUCUUCUUAAUGUUUUUUUUUCUUUUUUUUCUAAGCUGGAGCAUUGAAGCAAAACAUGAGUCUGAUUUUAAUGAAAUAAAAAUUAAAAACAUUCACCGCAGUGUUCUGGGGAUGCUUUCCGAUGUUCCAUCAAACACGUGUCUCAGUUAGUUUGUAAUCGAUGUGACGGAUGCUUAUUAAAAGUCAGAGGGGAAAAGUUGGUUAAAGCAAGAUGAAUAUUUUAUGAGACUCCAGACACAGACAUGUCAGAAAUGUUGUUAUCUAAAUUAUAAGUGUCAGCUGUUGGAUAUCUAGAGAGCGGGAGCAGCAGAAAUUCUGAAUGCGAGUACAGUCAGCACAGAGAGCGGGGCAGCACCAUAUUAGUUCUCGCAUUAAAGAUGUAGAGAGCAUUACAUUUUGGAGAAGAGACGAAACAGGCACAGAGGCAGAACCGGACUUCGUAUUCUUUCAAAAAGGCAACUUAAAAUUGCAGAAUGCUGCAACAAUAUGAGGCUCAUAA